rfam:Exophiala aquamarina CBS 119918 aczIA-supercont1.2, whole genome shotgun sequence.
UCGUUUUCAUCAACAGUGUUUGAUAAAGCAC